UCCCCCUCCCGGCCAGGCCCUCCUUCCCGCUCCGCCCGCCCGGAGUGGCCCAGUUAGUCCGGCCCCGCUUUCUCCCGCUGGCCAGGGCUCAGUUCGGGCCCCCGGCCUUCUUGCUUCCCAGCUCGCAGCCCCAGGGACAGAAGGAGGGUCUGCAGCUUCCCCUCCCCCUCUCCCAAGCCCGGGAUCACCUUUCAGAAGCCUCAGGUUGUGGGCGGCGCUUCGGGAAAGCCCGGAGCCCGAGUCCGCGGCCCCCGGGCCGCCUCCACCCGCCUCCACGCCCGCCCCGGCCCAGCCCCGCCUGGGAAACCGUCCAUUGUUCCCGGGCCUCCCGCCGCAUUCAUCUCCCGAGCUGCUGGGCCGCAGUGGCCCAGCGCUUCCCGGCCGGGCGAGCGGAGCUGAGCCAAGCCGAGCUGAGCCCCGCCCGCCCCGGCAAUUACCCCGGCGGCCCUCGGGACUCCGGGCGGGGAUGUGAAGGGGGGGCUGGAAGGUUUAACCCUUUCCUUAGCCUCCCCUGCGGGGAUCCGAUGCAAGGGGAAGCCGCCUGAAGCGCUCACUGGGUGCCAAGUGCCAGGGACCCGAAGGAGGGCAGGCCCUGCCAGCAAGGAGCCCCCACUGCAAAGGGGAGUGGGGGUGUCUGGCGUUCUAGCAACCAGGUGCUCCAUGCCGGCGCGGUGGGAAAGAUCAUCUUUCAAAAAAUACACAUGAAGGCAAUGCAUGACCAGUGUUAAAAGGAGAAUUUGGAGUUCAGCCUCUCACUACAAUGAAGCACCUGUGACAAGUCAAUAAAACCAGCUCCUCCAAAAUCGGGCAGA